rnacentral:rRNA from 1 species
GAUCCUGGCUCAGGAUGAACGCCGGCGGCGUGCUUAACACAUGCAAGUCGAACGGGGAUUAUUUUGACAGAGACUUCGGUUGAAGUCGUUAUAAUCCUAGUGGCGGACGGGUGAGUAACGCGUGGGUAACCUGCCUCACACUGGGGGAUAACAGUCAGAAAUGACUGCUAAUACCGCAUAAGCGCACGGGAUUGCAUGAUCCAGUGUGAAAAACUCCGGUGGUGUGAGAUGGACCCGCGUUGGA